UACGGGGGGGGCAAGCGUUGUUCGGAAUUACUGGGCGUAAAGGGCUUGUAGGUGGCCAACUAAGUCAGACGUGAAAUCCCUCAGCUUAACUGGGGAACUGCGUCUGAUACUGGAUGGCUUGAGAUUGGGAGAGGGACGCGGAAUUCCAGGUGUAGCGGUGAAAUGCGUAGAUAUCUGGAGGAACACCGGUGGCGAAGGCGGCGUCCUGGACCAACACUGACACUGAAAAGCGAAAGCCAGGGGAGCAAACGGG
rnacentral:rRNA from 1 species